rnacentral:rRNA from 1 species
UACGAAGGGGGCUAGCGUUGUUCGGAAUUACUGGGCGUAAAGCGCACGUAGGCGGAUCGAUCAGUCAGGGGUGAAAUCCCAGGGCUCAACCCUGGAACUGCCUUUGAUACUGUCGAUCUGGAGUAUGGAAGAGGUGAGUGGAAUUCCGAGUGUAGAGGUGAAAUUCGUAGAUAUUCGGAGGAACACCAGUGGCGAAGGCGGCUCACUGGUCCAUUACUGACGCUGAGGUGCGAAAGCGUGGGGGAGCAAACAGGGAUAAGAA